CAGUCGAGCGGUACAGGUGUAGCAAUACAUGCUGACGAGCGGCGGACGGGUGAGUAACGCUUGGGAAUCUGCCUAUUAGUGGGGGACAACCCGGGGAAACUCGGGCUAAUACCGCAUACGCUCUACGGAGGAAAGCCGGGGACCGCAAGGCCUGGCGCUAAUAGAUGAGCCCAAGUCGGAUUAGCUAGUUGGUAGGGUAAUGGCCUACCAAGGCUACGAUCCGUAACUGGUCUGAGAGGACGACCAGUCACACCGGAACUGAGACACGGUCCGGACUCCUGCGGGAGGCAGCAGUGGGGAAUAUUGGACAAUGGGGGAAACCCUGAUCCAGCGACGCCGCGUGGGUGAAGAAGGCCUGCGGGUUGUAAAGCCCUUUCAGUGGGGAAGAAAAGCCUCGACCUAACACGUCGGGGUCUUGACGUAACCCAUAGAAGAAGCACCGGCUAACUCUGUGCCAGCAGCCGCG
rnacentral:rRNA from 1 species